rnacentral:rRNA from 1 species
CACGUAGGGCGCAAGCGUUGUCCGGAAUUAUUGGGCGUAAAGAGCUCGUAGGCGGUCUGUUGCGUCCGCUGUGAAAACCCGGGGCUUAACCCUGGGCUGGCAGUGGAUACGGACAGACUAGAGGUAGGUAGGGGAGAAUGGAAUUCCCGGUGUAGCGGUGAAAUGCGCAGAUAUCGGGAGGAACACCGGUGGCGAAGGCGGCGACCUGGGUAGAUACUGACGCUGAGGCGCGAAAGCGUGGGGAGCAAACAGG